rnacentral:rRNA from 1 species
AACGAACGCUGGCGGCAUGCCUAACACAUGCAAGUCGAACGAGACCUUCGGGUCUAGUGGCGCACGGGUGCGUAACGCGUGGGAAUCUGCCCUUGGGUUCGGAAUAACAGUUGGAAACGACUGCUAAUACCGGAUGAUGACGUAAGUCCAAAGAUUUAUCGCCCAAGGAUGAGCCCGCGUAGGAUUAGCUAGUUGGUGAGGUAAAGGUUCACCAAGGCGACGAUCCUUAGCUGGUCUGAGAGGAUGAUCAGCCACACUGGGACUGAGACACGGCCCAGACUCCUACGGGAGGCAGCAGUGGGGAAUAUUGGACAAUGGGCGAAAGCCUGAUCCAGCAAUGCCGCGUGAGUGAUGAAGGCCUUAGGGUUGUAAAGCUCUUUUACCCGGGAUGAUAAUGACAGUACCGGGAGAAUAAGCUCCGGCUAACUCCGUG